UACGAAGGGGGCUAGCGUUGUUCGGAAUUACUGGGCGUAAAGCGUAUGCAGGCGGAUCUUUAAGUCAGGGGUGAAAUCCCGAGGCUCAACCUCGGAACUGCCUCUGAUACUGGGGAUCUUGAGUCCGGGAGAGGUUAGUGGAACUGCGAGUGUAGAGGUGAAAUUCGUAGAUAUUCGCGAGAACACCAGUGGCGAAGGCGGCUAACUGGCCCGGUACUGACGCUGAGAUACGAAAGCGUGGGGAGCAAACAGG
rnacentral:rRNA from 1 species